CCACCAGAGGCUGGCAAGGGACGGAUUCUCCCCUAGAGCCUCCGGAGGUAGCACGACCCCAACGACACCUUGAUUUGGGGUUGAUGAGGGAAUGAAUGUCUGUUGCUUUAAGCAACUAAGUUUGUGGUGAUGUGUUACAGCAGCCCUAGAAAACUAAGAUAGGAGGGGAAAACAACUCUCAAAAGCUUGCGCCUUUUUUAAACUUGACCCCCGCUCUGCUCUAGAGCAAAGCCUCUUAGUGUAUUACACUCUCUUUGGCUGCCCCAGGGACAAUCCUCGCCAGCUCAUUUUUUUGCUCAACUAUUCAUUUAACAAAUAUUUGCUGAGCCCUUGUGCCUGUCAAGCACUGGGCUGGGCUUCAGGACACAGGGAUGGGGCAGCUUCCCAUCCAGCGGGAAGGACACCACCACCAAGACUGGGGUGGCCGCUAAGGGCGCCGUGGGAGCCCCUCACCCGGGCCCUCAGACUGACAGGGCCCUGACAUCCGCGGGAGUUGGCCAAGUGAAGGGAGGAGAAGCAGGAGGUGAGAGGCGAGACAUUUACCGUCUGCCUUGCUCGGAGUCUCGCUCCCUUGCCAGCUUUGAUGAAACAAGUGACCGCUUUGGCAGGGGAUCAAGGACAGCUUCUGCCUGAUGGUCAGCAAGAAACUGAGAUCUGCAGGCCUCCAGCCAUGAGGAACUGAAUUCUGCCCAUCGCUGUGUGAGCUUGGAAGUGGAUCUUUUACCCAGACAAGCCUUGAGGUGAGGCUGACACUUCGGCUGCCAAGGGGCCAGUUCAGCUGUGUCUGCCCUCCUGACCCUCAGAGACUGUGAGAGAAUAAAUGUGUCAUUGCACACUGCUAAGUUUGUGGGAAUAUGAUUGUGUGGUGUACGAGUGAUGCAGAGGGCUCUGGGAGUGGGUAGCAUGGAAGAAAGGCCUGGAAGCAAGGUGAGCUCGGCCCUGCAGCAGCUCCAUCUGGGUGCCUGGAAGCAGACUGCAUCAGUGCCUGCCCCGGGGCUGCUGGGUGAGAGCCGGGUGGAGAGGGGGUGCCAAGGCCCUCCCCAGGAUCCCUAUCCCUGCUUCAAGGAAACACGGAGCAUGGGGCCUGCUCAACCAGGGGACAGAGCUGGGAACCAGGCCAUCCAACCCUCCAGCUUGCAUCCCAGCUUACAGCCAGAGAGGCUCUCACAUCCCGUUCCCGGAGCGGAGGAUGGGGAGGUGACUUGUCCAAAGUCACCCAAAAAGGAAGUAGCAGAGCCUGGAACUGGGUACUGGACAUGGCUGUGGCCUGGCGGUCGGCUGGCCUGGCCUCAAGGCUGAAAUGAAAAGCAGCUUUUGGCUUUAACCAGAUACCCCCCACCAGCCUCAGGGGCUGGGGUCUAACCCUCCGUGGGAAAGCCAGGCCUGUUCAAACGCACCCGCUGCCCUCCCACCUCGCUCCAGCUGAGGCAGCCCUGGUUGCCCAGGACCCUCACGGAUCCCACCAGGUUCCACUGCCUCCCCCGGGCAGGCUCCUCGCUGCCUGACCGUGACACAGACUGACUGCUCCUGGGACCUGGACAACAGGGGCUUCUCUGAAGAGGACAGUUUGUGCCAGACCUUGGUUCCUCCGGAGGUCAAGGAGAAGAUGCGGGGGUUAGAGCCAGUGCCAGGAGCAGGGGGAGAGGCAGGGCACACUGCUGGAAAAAGAAAUGAAGGAAGUAGACUGUGGUCAAGGGCAAGCCCACCAUCUGCCUAUUAAACAUCAGCCGAGUGUGUUGUAGAUGCACUGCAUUGACCUUCAGCACCACCAAGCUGACAAGUCCCCCUGCCCGAAGAACUGUGAUGGCAGGAUGGGGGUCACCUGGGACCUGGCCCGCUGCCCACCCAGCUGGUGAGCCGUGGUCCUGGAUCCCGGGCAGUGGUUGCCUGGAGCAGAAGCUCCUGCUGUCACCACUGACACCCCUCUUCGUCAGCCUUGUUCGGGCCUGUGGGCCUCCCUACCAGGCACAUGGGUUUGCUUUUUUCCACCUUGGUGCCCCUCAGGAGGGAACCAGCAUGGAGGGGCAGAUCUCUCCCCCCAGCCCCCAAACCCUUGCACCUUCUUCCAAAGUAGCUCCUUCAGACUGUGCCGAGGAGCAGUCAUCGGAGUGUGGAAGCAGCUCCAGGGCCUUUGGAAGGUCUCCUAGCUGGAGUCACCCAAGGGCUGCCUUUCUUAGGGGCACAGCCUGUUCCCCCAAACCUGACGUCAGCACCUGGCCAGUCAGCUGGGGCCUCUGCUUUCCCCAGCCCCACAGCCCUGCUGACACAGAGCAAGACAGGAAUUCCCUUCUCAUCCCAGACAAGAGCUCCUUCUCCAGCACGGCUUCCCUUCCGGUCCUCCCUGGAGGACAAAGCAGAGGACCUAUUUCAUGAGGUCGUGAGAUUCUCUACUUCUGUGAUUUCCUCUCCCAGGCUCUGGGGCCAUCUAGAUCCAAUGACCUUUGGGGGAUUCUGAUGAACUUGUUUGCCCAUGAUCAUUGGUUUGUCCCCAUUUGUUUGAAUAAAUAAAUGAAGCAGAAGACAGGGAUAAAUUCAAUUCCGUAAUUAUCUCUGUACCUGGCCUCCCUCCCCACCUGUAGUGCACAGGGGCUGUCAAUGCCCAGAUGCGUGCAUUCCGGCAUGAGGUCCCUGGAAACAUCGUCUGCUCCCCCCACACCAGAGAGUGGGAAUAACUCAGCCAUUGACAGUGAAGCCAAGACCAGCCUGGGGUUUCCGGCUCUUGGCUGUACUCCUGGUUGCAGGUUUGGCUCUCUCGGACCUCGAGAGCUUGUUAGGUGUUCUCCAGGCAUCAGGGUCAAAGCCUUCAAAGCCUUGCCCAAGAGGCCCAGCUCCUCCUGGGCAGGAACCAGCUCAUCUCUCCACUACUACUUUCCACCUCACCCACCCUGCUCCCCAAGGGGAAGCCACAGGACCAACUGUUCAUCCAUCCAUCCAUCCAUCCAUCCUUCCAUCCCUCCCUCCAUCCCUCCCUCCAUCCCUCCCUCCAUCCACCCAUCCAUCCACCCAUCCAUCCAUCCAUCCAUCCAUCCAUGCCACAAGGAUGUAGGGUGUCCACCAUCUGCCAGGCACUCCUCUUGGCUCUGAGAAGGCAGCAGUGAACAAAACAGAUGAUAUUUGCCAAAGAGUAGAGGUACACAAUAAACAAGAUAAAUAAGUGGACUACAGAUUAGUGGGUGGUAAGUGCUAGGGCAGAACCAUUAAGCAGGGGAGGGGAGUAGAAAGAGGGGGGCUGCGAUUUUAAAGUGAACAAUCAGGAGGUGAACUUUAGUUUCGAGGGAGGAAGGUGGAAGGUGAGCUUCAGACAUCUGGAGAAAGACUGCUGCAGAGAGAGGGGCGGCAGGGACACAGGCCCUGCGGGCGGUGCCUCCCGAUGAGUUGCAGGACUGGCGAGGAGGCCAGCAUGGCCGGUGGGGAGCUGGUGGAGGGGGCAAAAGGACAAGAUGAGGCCGGAGGGGCAUUGGGUUCCAGAUUGCAGCUUUGAGACUUGGGUUCUUCCUCUGAAGGAGGAGUGCGCCCCUUGGAGAGGGAUGUGAGCCGAGCAGCAAUAUGCUCCAACGUGGGUUUGAAGGGACUGCCGAGUGUCGUGUCGAGAGGGACUGCAGGCAGCGAGGCAAAGAGCCAACUUGGAGUCAACUGCAAAGGUUCAGGCCCGAGGGGAUGCUGGCAGCAGCGGUCAAAUUCUGGGUAUAAUUUGGAAGUGGCGAUGCAAGCAUUUGCUGGCAGACUGGAGGUUGGCCAUGAGCGGAAGAGAAGAGACGAGAAAGACCCCAAUCUCUCCAGCCUGAGUUGCUGAGUUAACAGAGAGGGGACACCUUAGGAGGCUGUAUGUAAUCCAGGCAACGUCCGGAGAUGUGCUUUGGGACAAUGCUGGGGUAAAGGGCUUUGGAGUCACAGCUGAACUCAGAUCCUGCUUUCAUUGGUCCCAAGCUGUAGGACCUCAGGCAGGUUUCUCAUCGUCCAAGCCUCAGUCUUCCAGGACUCACUGCUCUGGACAGUAAAAUGGGGCAACAGUGGCUCCUCCCUGCAUGAUGGGGUUAUGAGCAUUAGGUCAGCACACAGAUCAGCACCCUUUUCUGUAAGUCGUUCAGACUUUGCCAGCCAUGGGGUUCCUGUCACGACUUAACCCCAUCAUUUCAUGCUGAAGCAGCCACAGACAAUAGGUAAAUGUGUACGUGAAUGAGCGUGGCUCAGUACCAGUGAGACUUUACUCUCGGACACUGAGUUUUGAAUUUCGUCUAAUUUUCACGUAUCAUGUAAUCUUCUUAUGAUUAUUUUUCAACCAUUUCAAAAUGUAAAAGAACGUUUUUAGCUUGUGGGCUGUACAAACACAGGCCUGGGUAAGCUGACGGAUUUAAAGCUCAGGAUUGGCACCGAAUUAACAGUUCAAUGUAAACCAGAAACCACUGUUACUACAGCAGCAGGAAAAGAGAGAUUUAGAUGGCUAAUGUCCCUCUGAUCCUAAUUUUGGACUAAAAGCCUUCCCCAGACUGGUCUCUGAUAAAGAGAGAGAGAGAGAGAGAGAGAGAGAGAGAGAGAGGGAAAGGGAGGGGAGGGGGAGGGAAGGAAGGAAGGGAGAAAUAAAAAAAGAAAGCAAAGUAAGGGAAGAGCCCCAGUGUGUGGGCCUGGAAGCAUGUCUGUUUUGCUUACGAUCCCCAAGCCCCACUAGGGCCUGCAGAGAGAGGCAUUCAAUACAGUUCUUAAGUUUAUGAAUUAAUCCAUUAUUGCAGAUGUGUAAACUCCAUAGGGAAGGGGGGGGGUGUCCCUAAGGAAUUUCCAGGGUUCCUUAGAACCCUGAAAAGAGUCCGUGUCUCCACGUCCACAGCACAUUGCAGCCCCAUGACAUCUCUUCUUCUGUCCCCUUUUUAUCCUGCUUGCUCCCAUCCUUCCUUCCUCACCAAGAAGGGUAGCUAACUGGGAUUGUGUGUUUAGUGAGUCAUGAUGAAGUAAAAACUAGAUCCUCGUUUUGCAAAUCACAGAGGUGAGUAACUUGCCGAAGCUGCACGGCUACAAAGCCAGGUUUCAAGCCUGACCCCAGAAGCUGACCUUUUCCACUGUCACAGGCUGCCCCACUCCCGCCCCUCCUGCCCCGUUUCCCUCUACUCACCCCGCUGUGAACUUCGGGUGAACUAGACCAUGGUGACCCUCCCUCCGCCUCUUAGGGGUUAGUACCUGGGAGGAGUUAGGAGUUCAGAAUCCAGAGCCAGUCCAACUUGGUUCAAAUCCCAGCCCUGUCACUUGCUAGCUGUGCAACCUCAGGGCUGCUUACUUAACCCUCUCUGGGCCUCAGUUUCCCCAUCCAUCAAGGGGCACGACAGUGCCGUCCACUCUGCAGGCUUGCCGUGAGGAUUCGGUGAGCUACCAUCUGAAAGGCCAGCACACGGUGAGUGCACACGACUGCCUGGUGUCAGCCUUCAGCACCCGUGCACCCCACCCCAGAGGUGCCCGGACAACCCUGAAUCGUGACUUCUUCAUGAGUUCUCUGUGGGAAGAGACUGCCCUAGUUCUCCCUCCAUCACCAGUUCUGUUGCGGUGCUUGGCCUAAAGCACACACUCAGACCAUCUUUUUGAGUGGAUGAACAGAUGACCAUCUAGUCUAGGAAGCGUGACCCUCUGGAAAAAAACUGAACCAAGCACGCUGUGCCCACCCUUUCCAGUGGACGUUUCACCAGCCACCAGAUCUGCCAAGGGCACAGAUCAAACGUUUGGUAAACACUACACACUUGAUGCCCCACUUGGAGACUUGCUUGCCACGUUUUCUACUGGAAUUUCUCCUGUACUCAGCGGCCUCUCUUUUGAAAGACUCCGAGAAGCCUCCUACCAAGAACUGUUAAAUCCAGCAUUUUCCAAAUGGAUUUGAGCACAGGUCCUUUUCAUUUCUUAUAUAGCAUCUAUUAAAAUCCCAUGAAACAUUUGCUUUAGGAAAUACUGCAAUCCAACAACCCAUACUGUGUUCCCACAAGGUUUUCUAGUUCAAGUCUGAUUUUGCAGAUCAAAAAACCACGGCCCCCUCUGCCCUCCCCACACAUUCUAAGUAUUUCGGUCCUGAAGCCAAAGCGUGACAGUGCCCCCCCCCAGGGGUGGGGGUGGGUGGGUGAGGAGGGCAUCCCCAUGGAGAGGUGGCCUCUCUGGGUGUCAGAGCCCAAGAGGGGUGAGAAGGGCAUCCUUGCAUGUCAAGGUCAAAGAAGUCAGGGAAAGACUGAGGAAAUUUUCCAGACUGAAGACAAUCCACGACCCUGAGCAGGAUCCUUUGAUGUUAUUGUGACAAGUGACAAAAUGGGAACAAAAUCUAGGGAUUAGCUGGUGACAGAUUUUCCACAUUCGUAUUCUGGUUUUGAUGGCUGCAUCGUGGUCAUGUAGACAGUGCUUGUUUGUCGGAAUUACAUAUAAGAGUGUGUGGGAGCUGUAACCCAUAACAUCCUUUGAACUUGGUUCUAUAGCUACUUAUUAAAUUAUUAUUUGAAAGCUAUACCUUUUUGUAUACAUGUUAGAUUUCACAAUAAGGAAAUGACUGAAACUAU